AGCCGGCGGAGCCGGGCCGGGCAGCCGAAGCUCCGAAUGGGGCGGCCGAGGCGGAGCUGCUCGGCCUGAGGAGAGCCCGCCGGCGGCUCCCGGCUGGAGGGGACCGAGCGCGGACGGCCGAUGGCCGGGCGAGAGGACGGCCGGGACUGGGCGUACAGGGUUGAUCCAUAUGGAUUUGAAAGGCCAGAUGACUUUGAUUACGCAUCCUAUGAAGCUUUCUUUUCCAGAUACCUAGUGGUACUCACUAGAAGAGCGAUAAAAUGGUCCAAGCUCCUAAAGGGCAAAAACAGUAUACAGAAGAGUUUAAAAGUGAAGAGAUAUAUCAGGAAAGGCAUCCCCAAUGAACACCGUGCGUUGAUCUGGAUGAUUGUGAGUGGAGCCCAAACCAACAUGGAGCAAAACCCUGGAUACUACCACAGGCUGCUCGAAGGAGAGAAAAAUGACAGGCUGGUCGAAGCAAUCAAAACAGACAUGAAUAGAACAUUUCCAGAUAACAUAAAAUUCCGCAAAACGGCUGAUCCCUGCCUGCAGCACACGCUCUACAAUGUGUUGGUAGCAUACGGGCACCACAAUAAAGCAGUAGGAUAUUGUCAGGGCAUGAAUUUCAUAGCUGGAUACCUGAUUCUUAUUACAAAGAAUGAAGAGGAGUCCUUUUGGUUGCUAGAUGCUCUUAUUGGAAGAAUAUUGCCCGAUUAUUACAGCCCGGCAAUGAUGGGCCUGAAAACCGACCAGGAGGUCCUGGGAGAGCUGGUGAAACUGAAAGUUCCUGCCGUGGCAGAGCUGAUGGAAAGACACGGGGUCAUGUGGACCCUGGUGGUGUCACGCUGGUUCAUCUGCUUGUUUAUUGACAUUCUUCCAGUAGAGACCGUGCUCCGAAUAUGGGACUGUCUGUUCUACGAAGGGUCAAAGAUCAUCUUCCGCGUGGCCUUAACGUUAAUUAAGCAACACCAAGCUUUUAUUCUGGAAGCCACGAAUUUCCCUGACAUUUGUGAUAAAUUCAAGCAGAUCACCAAAGGAACAUUUGUAACAGAGUGUCACACCUUCAUGCAGAAAAUAUUCACAGAACCCGGAACCUUGUCCAUGACAACAAUCGACAAACUCCGAGAGACUUGCAGAGAGAAGUUGCUUUCUCAGGGAUAACUCACCAGGCCUCAGCAGGGGGUCCAGAAAUCGACACAUUCCUCUACUUGCACUGACUAAAGCACACUUUAAGCUUUCCAUGAGUUAACUGACAGUUGACCAAUUUUUUUCCUGCCUUUCAAAGCCCUCUCGUGGCCACAUCGUUUCCCUCACCUUCCUUACUGUUAAAGUACUGUGGAAAGCCUCACUUCUUAACACCACCUUUUCAGAUUCUACUGCAAGAUUGGUCUUUGAUAACGAAGUUAGUGGUGUGGUUUUGUUUUGCUGCACAUUGAGCUUAUUUCAUUCCUCACAAAGGAAAAAAACUUUCAGAGGAAAUAGGUGAAUAUUCUUGUGGGCCAGUAAAGACAGCUUAACUUAUGAGUACGGAAAGCUGUAUGGAGAAAAGAAUGGCACUUCCCAGGUGCCAUUUGCUAUCUUCACAUGUUACUUUAGAGUAAGAAAGCGCACCCCAUAAGGGUAUAAAACUACAUAAGUGGUUCUAGACAAACAGCUGUAUUGUGCUCAAGAAGGAGGCAAGAUUCAGUGAUACAGAGAUAAGCCCCAGGCAAGUACGCAGGGUUGUGAAUUUACAGAAGAUUUGGUUCAUUCCCUACAGAAAAAAAAGGUAAUACUACUAUAAAAGGCUUUGUCCAACAAUAUGAUACUGUGCUAUCCCAUCCUUUGCGCUACCAGACAGUACUUUUUAAUCUUGAAUACUCAAUUAUAAGGACAGUAGCAUACCUUCAGUAUGGCAGCAGCUGUCAGGAAGUACUAGUUUGUUUCAUCAUGGGUGAAAUCCAUCAUUUUCCAGUCCCUUCAGGGUAGCUGGGCAGAUGUCCAGAGCAUGCCAGCCUUCACCAUCAGAAGGCAGCUGCUCUGUGCAAAGUCCCACUGUAGCUUGGCUCCUGCCCUCUGUAGCCAUUAUUGUUAAUACUGAAACAUUACUGCAGGAGGGGGGCUGGGAAGCUUUAAAAACAAAGGUUCAGCUCCAAACUCACACGUAGACCUCAGCAGGCCUGCACUUCCUAUUCUGUGGUAAGCAUCUGACUUCACAGAAAGACAAAAAUGUCAUUUACAAUAUCCUUACACCAAGUAUCUUAUCACCACUUUCAGAAAGUGAUGCUUAGCAGACAGGACUUUAUACUGACAUUUCUCAGCAAGCUGCAAUUUAAUGUAAGCAUUAUCUUCUCGAGGUCUCAGCUCGCUGACAUGCAGCAGCUUUCCUUCUUGCCAAGCUCAAAGUCCAAAAUAACAAAAAGCAGUGCUUUGGAAGAGAGAGGGGUACAGUUAAACCUCGCACCAGAGGGUUUUUUUCCUGCCAGAGGGGAAAAAAACAAAGUUUUAACAAUCCCACACUAAGGAUAGCUUAAAGCUUCAGAAAUAAAGCCAAGCCAAGACUAUAGCACUGAUCAAGCAAAUGUUUUUAAAAGUGAUCAGCAACACAAGGAUUUACAGAAAAAAAGUGUCUUUAUUAGCAUUGUUACAGGCAAUGCAUACAUAAGAACUGAUCCUUAAAGUGUACAACCCCCCAGCCAAGUUUAAAGCAAGAGAAUCAGCAGAUUGAGACCUAUAUUGUACACAUGUGCAGUAACAGGAUCUCUCUGGACCUUCCAACAGAAGAGACUGAAAUCACUUUACAAAAAAAUGUAAAUAAAAAUAACACCCAUUUUUU